rfam:Geobacter sp. M18, complete genome.
GAAGUCCCGCCUGGGGAAUUAUCCGUACGCCCCGGUAGCUCAAGGGAGCGGCGUCUUGGUAACAAGGGGUCGUAAGUUCCCAAUUGGCAAAACAGCAGGCCGUAACGAAAGGGAACUCACGCGUAGCCUCGUUAAUAGAAUCGUAGAUGCCGACCCAGUGGACAUAUGGGGAAGGCCGUUGCACUUGGGCUCAGAUAACGGAAACGGCUCAGGUGGUCUUCCGGGGUAGCAGAGAU